rnacentral:rRNA from 1 species
AGAGUUUGAUCAUGGCUCAGGACGAACGCUGGCGGCGUGCCUAAUGCAUGCAAGUCGAGCGACGCAUACGGGGCUUGCCCUGUAUGACGGAGCGGCGAACGGGUGAGUAACACGUGAGCAACCUGCCCCGAAGACCGGGAUAGCCCGAGGAAACUCGGAUUAAUACCGGAUACCUUCACACCUCCGCAUGGGGGAGUGAAGAAAUGCCUUUGUGCUUCGGGAUGGGCUCGCGGCCUAUCAGCUAGUUGGUGAGGUAACAGCUCACCAAGGCGUCGACGGGUAGCUGGUCUGAGAGGACGAUCAGCCACACUGGGACUGAGACACGGUCCAGACUCCUACGGGAGGCAGCAGCAGGGAAUAUUGCACAAUGGGCGAAAGCCUGAUGCAGCAACGCCGCGUGCGGGAAGAAGGCCUUCGGGUUGUAAACCGCUUUUGUCAGGGAAGAAACGCUUCGAGAUAAUACCUUGGAGUAAUGACGGUACCUGAAGAAUAAGCACCGGCUAACUACGUGCCAGCAGCCGCGGUAAUACGUAGGGUGCAAGCGUUAAUCGGAAUUACUGGGCGUAAAGCGUGCGCAGGCGGCCAUGCAAGACAGAUGUGAAAUCCCCGGGCUCAACCUGGGAACUGCAUUUGUGACUGCAUGGCUGGAGCGCGGCAGAGGGGGAUGGAAUUCCGCGUGUAGCAGUGAAAUGCGUAGAUAUGCGGAGGAACACCGAUGGCGAAGGC